GCAGCUUGUCCUUCAGACUGAAACUGUCCUCUAUCUGGAAGCGAGGGACGUGGACGGAGACGGUCGUCAUCUUCAUCUGAUCCAACCAGCCGAGGACUGAAAUCCUUCUACGAGGCUGGUUGAACUACCCGGACGGACCAUGAGAUCAUCUGUAUGAACGUACCUGUUGCUGUUAACUUGGCUGAGAUAUAUUACAUCUCGUACCUGUCUGAUUGUG